rnacentral:rRNA from 1 species
GACGAACGCUGGCGGCGUGCCUAAUACAUGCAAGUAGAACGCAGUUGCGAACGGGUGAGUAACGCGUAGGUAACUGCCUGGUAGCGGGUGAUUACUAUUGGUAACGAUAGCUAAUACAGCAUACUACCAGCUGGACCUGCGUUUUAUUUGCUAGUUGGUGGGGUAACGGCGCACCAAGGCAACGAUACCUAGCCGACCUGAGAGGGUGAUCGGCCACACUGGGACUGAGACACGGCCCAGACUCCUACGGGAGGCAGCAGUAGGGAAUCUUCGGCAAUGGACGGAAGUCUGACCGAGCAACGCCGCGUGAGUGAAGAAGGUUUUCGGAUCGUAAAGCUCUGUUGUAAGAGAAGCGGUAUCUGACCAGAAAGGGACGGCUAACUACGUGCCAGCCGCCGCGGUAAUAC